rnacentral:lncRNA from 1 species
CCGCCCUCAGAUAUAGUUAGAUUGGUAGUUUUUCAAAGCCUCUCCUCAACAUCCAACAAGGCAAUGCACAUAAAGCAUAACCUCCACCAUCUCACCCACUGUCACUAUGAAUAAUAUUAAUUAAUAAUAAUAAUAAUAAUAAUGUUGGUGGUGGUGCGACGAGUGGAAGAAAAAGAAGAAGAGAAGAGCAUAGUGAUGGCAGUGUGUGGUGAAAGGCAGAUGGGAUGGAAAAGCUUUGAAUAUUAUUGAGAGUACCAUAUCUAAACAACCAUUCAUC